UGGAGUCUGCAACUCGACUCCAUGAAGCUGGAUUCGCUAGUAAUCGCGCAUCAGCCAUGGCGCGGUGAAUACGUUCCCGGGCCUUGUACACACCGCCCGUCAAGCCAUGGGAGCCGGGGGGUGCCUGAAGUACGUGACCGCGAGGAGCGUCCUAGGGCAAAAACUGGUGACUGGGGCUAAGUCGUAACAAGGUAAC
rnacentral:rRNA from 1 species